CUACGGGCGGCACCAGUGGGGAAUAUUGCACAAUGGGCGCAAGCCUGAUGCAGCCAUGCCGCGUGUAUGAAGAAGGCCUUCGGGUUGUAAAGUACUUUCAGCGGGGAGGAAGGGAGUAAAGUUAAUACCUUUGCUCAUUGACGUUACCCGCAGAAGAAGCACCGGCUAACUCCGUGCCAGCAGCCGCGGUAAUACGGAGGGUGCAUGCGUUAAUCGGAAUUACUGGGCGUAAAGCGCACGCAGGCGGUUUGUUAAGUCAGAUGUGAAAUCCCCGGGCUCAACCUGGGAACUGCAUCUGAUACUGGCAAGCUCGAGUCUCGUAGAGGGGGGUAGAAUUCCAGGUGUAGCGGUGAAAUGCGUAGAGAUCUGGAGGAAUACCGGUGGCGAAGGCGGCCCCCUGGACGAAGACUGACGCUCAGGUGCGAAAGCGUGGGGAGCAAACAGGAUUAGAUACCCUUGUAGUC
rnacentral:rRNA from 1 species